rnacentral:misc_RNA from 1 species
GAUGAAGAACGCAGCGAAAUGCGAUAAGUAAUGUGAAUUGCAGAAUUCAGUGAAUCAUCGAAUCUUUGAACGCACACUGCGCCCCUUGGUAUUCCGAGGGGCAUGCCUGUUCGAGCGUCAUUAUAACCCCUCAAGCUCAGCUUGGUGUUGGGGCCUGCUGCACUGGCAGCCCUUAAAAUCAGUGGCGGCGCCAUCUGGCUCUAAGCGUAGUAAUUCUUCUCGCUAUGGAGUCCUGGUGGAUGCUUGCCAUCAACCCCCAAUUUUUCUAUGGUUGACCUCGGAUCAGGUAGGGAUACCCGCUGAACUUAAGCAUAUCAAUAAGCGGAGGA